AAAGGUAUAGCCUAGUGGUAGAGUGCCUGCCUAGCAUGCACAAGGUCCUGGGUUCAAUCCCCAGUACCUCCA
rfam:Camelus ferus unplaced genomic scaffold scaffold1250, whole genome shotgun sequence.